rnacentral:rRNA from 1 species
CGGACGGGUGAGUAAUGUCUGGGAAACUGCCUGAUGGAGGGGGAUAACUACUGGAAACGGUAGCUAAUACCGCAUAACGUCGCAAGACCAAAGAAGGGGGACCUUAGGGCCUCUUGCCAUCGGAUGUGCCCAGAUGGGAUUAGCUAGUAGGUGGGGUAACGGCUCACCUAGGCGACGAUCCCUAGCUGGUCUGAGAGGAUGACCAGCCACACUGGAACUGAGACACGGUCCAG